GCAGUGAAGAAUAUCGUCAAUAGCCUAGCGGCUGACUCAGCAGCGUGGAAGAAUGAGCAGCUAGUAGCUAGCNNUAUCAUCGAGUAGUCAUGAUCAUAGGGCUUAUUAUCGCAGCCGGAGUAUCUGGUGAAUAGCAUCGGGAUGUCACCACGUAUAUAGGUGAGUGAUGUCGAUGCUAACAUCUCGCAGGAGUUAUGAGAANUUAGCAGUGAGGAAUAUUGGUCAAUAGUCGAAAGGCUGAACCAGCAACUUGGAAGAAUGUAAAGAAGAAAACUUCAURAAGUUCUAGAUAAAAUAAAGAGUCUGACAAUUUUUUAUCUAUGAGUCUUGACCAAAUUACGUGCCAGCAGUCGCGGUWAUACGUASAAGACRAGUGUUAUUCAUGUUUAAUCGGUAUAAAGGGUACCUAGACGGARAACCAAGCCUGAUAAGGUACUAGUUUUCUAGAGUUUUAUGUGUGAAUAAGCGAAUUACCAGAGAAGGGAUGAUAUACAUUAAUCCUGGUAGGACGGGUAACGGCAAAAGUUAUAUUCUAUGUAAAAACUGACGUUGAGGGACGAAGCCUAGGGCAGCGAUUAGGAUUCGAAACCCUAGUAGUCCUAGGAGACAAUGAUGAGUGCCAUAGGCUAGAAUAAUUUAGCCUAUAAAUGAAAGUGUAAGCAUUCCACCUUAAGACUAAAGCGGCAACGCCCAAAUUGAAAUCAUUAGACCGUUUCUGAAACCAGUAGUGAAGUAUGUUAUUUAAUUCGAUAAUCCGCGAAYAACCUUACCACGUUUUGAAUACUAGUGUAAACUAAUACAAGUGCUGCACGGCUGUCUUCAGUUAAUGUCGUGAGAUUGGGUUAASUCCUUUAAUUAACGAAAGCCCUUACUUUAGUUAUUUUUUAYUAAAGUAKUUCACCGAUAUAUUGGAUAGAUAAUAGGGACUAAKACAAGUCAUCAUGGCCUUACUAACGUGGGCUAUAGCGNGGCCAACAUAAAAACAAGUCGUCAUGACCCCUAAUAUAUAUGGCGCUAAAGACGGGGCCACUAAAAAUAAUAAAUCCAUGAUCUUUUGUAUGGUGGCAAGACAAUCCAUGCCAUAUCNAUUAACUUUUGUGUGUCUAUAGAGAAGCCACCCUACCCGGGUGGCACAUGAUGACAGGGUACUAACACGACUCAUAAUGGCCUAGAUAUUGUGGGCUACU
rnacentral:rRNA from 1 species